GGAGGGCCCGGGCGGUCGCUGCGCGGUGGCGGAGCGUCUAGCGGCCGCCGCACCCGGUGGCUCCGGGCCGCCGUUGUGAAGUGAGCGGGCCUCUCCCGCGCCGCGGCCCGCCGGGCACCGCCGCUGGACCCCGCGCCGACCCGGCAGCGCCCCGACCUGCCGCUCGGGAGGUCCGCGACCGUUUCGAUUUCUGUUCCUAAAGUCCGAUUUUGGACGCUGAAAAGGAGGCUGUGGAGGGGCGAGCGGCGUCCUGGGAAGCAAGGCCUGCUCUGUGCGGAGCAGAAACGCCUUGUGCGAACAGAAAUAAAUUCCCGCGGAAAGGAUGAAGGUGGACUUUUAAAUAUUCUCCACUGAAGCAAAUGCUGCAACAAUUUGCAUUUCCUUCACCAAUGUCUUCUUGUGCCUUUUCUUGUUUCUACUGUAAAGGAGAUGGGUUAGAUGUUCACUUUCAUUUGGACCCGUGGAUACCCAUUGAACAGAUGCUUGAAACCUGCAAGUAAUCUGCAGAUCUUAGCAGAACCAUAGGCCUUUCCUUUGUGUUGGGAGGAUAUAGCCUAUAUGCUGUGGAAAUGAACGGGGAGCAGCAGCUUGAUGCAGAUGCCGGCUCUGGUAUGGAAGAGGUAGAAUUAAGCUGGGAAGAUUAUCUAGAAGAAACAGGGUCCACAGCAGUUCCCUAUGGGUCUUUUAAACAUGU
rnacentral:sRNA from 1 species